rnacentral:rRNA from 1 species
GACAGAGGCCCCGAGCGUUAAUCGGAAUUACUGGGCUUAAAGGGUGCGUAGGCCGGUCCGAAAGUGCUUUGUGAAAUCCCCGGGCUCAACCCGGGAACAGCGGGGCAUACUGCGGAUCUUGAGGAAGGUAGGGGCCGCGAGAACAGUAGGUGGAGCGGUGAAAUGCGUAGAUAUCUACUGGAAUGCCGAUGGUGAAGACGCGCGGCUGGGCCUUUCCUGACGCUGAGGCACGAAAGCGUGGGGAGCAAACAGGAUUAGAUACCCUGGUAGUCCACGCCGUAAACGAUGCACGCUAGAUCGGUGCCGCUCUCACGCGGGAUCGGUCGUAGUAAAAACGAUAAGCGUGCCGCCUGGGGAGUACGGUCGCAAGGCUAAA